rnacentral:rRNA from 1 species
UACGUAGGUGGCGAGCGUUGUCCGGAUUUACUGGGCGUAAAGGGAGCGUAGGCGGACUUUUAAGUGAGAUGUGAAAUACUCGGGCUCAACUUGAGUGCUGCAUUUCAAACUGGAAGUCUAGAGUGCAGGAGAGGAGAAUGGAAUUCCUAGUGUAGCGGUGAAAUGCGUAGAGAUUAGGAAGAACACCAGUGGCGAAGGCGAUUCUCUGGGCUGUAACUAACGCUGAGGCUCGAAAGCGUGGGGAGCAAACAGG